GCGAGCACAACUACAGAGGCAAAACGGGAGCUGCUGUCCGUUGAUCGCCUGUCUGUAGCACGGCCAGCCAGGAUGGCCUGCUGAUGGGCUUCCAUCCCGAGAGUUUUUCGCGAGCCCUCUUUUCCACCGAACCGUGAGAGGAGCCUGACCGAGCAGCGCUCGAUGGAAAGGGUUUUUUCUCCGGGCGACCGACAACGACGACGGACGGGAAAAAUUUGGAUUUUCCCUGCGACGAGACUUUAUUGGGCUGGCGCUGGAUGGAGAAUCUAGGAAAACGUUUUCCUGGCUCGUUUGUGAAAAUAAGGAGUUACAUUCGACGAUGUUGUGCAGAAUUACUUCAAAUUUAAUUUUCACGUCCCCACGAUGCACUGCUUCCGUUUCUAUCUAUUGGAUUAUUAGGUUAAUAGUGAACAUACUCAUUUGGUAAGAUUAAUUCCUUGUAUAUGCACCAUGUUUAUUACCUUUAUUAGUAUUUUCAUACCCUACUACCAAAGUAUAUACUCAUACCACACACACCUUCCCCAAAUUCCCAUAUGAAGCAUCCACCCACAAAAGCAUCAUCGACUAUAGCAAAAAAAGCUCAACCACAUUCUCUCGCACCAAUCCAUCAUGAAGGAUGAGCCUUCAUCCUCUACACCACCACCGUGCAACAUGAAGCGUGUGUCUAGCGCUUCUGACAGCGAAGACGGUAACCCAUUUGCAGGAACCCGUAGAUCCGAACUUGUGCUGCCAUUUCACAUGUUACAAGAACGGAUAUAUGGGAUUCUGCCGAUGUAUGGCUAACAGCAUCGAUCGACUCGCGGAACAGUCAAACCCCAACCAAUCUCAGCGCAUCCUGCAGCCGAUAUCCCAGCUCGAACAGCUCAAUUCCGUAUCCUGGCAAAGUUGGCAAAUCGCACCUUAGUUUGUUCAUGUGUUCGCAAUUAUUUGAGAGAAUGUAGUUUUUUUUAUUCUGUUUAUCCAUAUCGUGAGUAUGUGCGCGAGAGUGACUCGUUGUGAAUGGUGAUGGUGGUGAUGGUAACCGAACCAGGCUCCGAGAGCUAAUGGGAAGUGAGCACAAUUUCCGGAUAGAACAAUAUAUAACUAGCCCCGAAGUGCACACAGAAGUGUAUUGGAAUAGAGCCAAUUGUUCGUUUGGUGAAGCAAAAACAAUAACCAAUUGCAGCAA